GCCAGAAGCAUCUCCACUACAACGGGACCCUACAUAUGGCUACGUAUAUACUCCAACGAAUUAGAUAUGCGCUGCUAGGGAAAAACUUCUCCACUUCGCGAGCGAGCGAAUAGAUAAGACGUGAUCUAUAACUGCCCGUAAUCCCGAUCCUCUCAUCCAACUAGUAUUACGCACCGGCCUCUGCUGGCACCCACCCCACAAUCCCGUGCGAGCAUCCUCAUCUCGACAUCAUCUAUUGAUCCCCGUCCAUGGUUUCUGCCCCUCAUGAUUCGUUCUCGUAUUGGGAUGCAGAGGACUAGGAUAUAAUUUGCGGCGGCGAGAGGAACAUCACUGCAUCACCAACCAUGACGAGCACGGCUAGGUGCAGCGGCACCUCUGGAGAUCCGUUCCUGCCCUUGAUUCACAGAUGUUCGCCCGUCCGCAGUUCCCGUACCACGAGUAUCAACUGCCCUGCCCUCACCCAGCUUCGCCUCCCUUCAUCAGGUGACUAUCUAGGUCCUACAGGUCAUCGCUCCCUUCUACAAAUUUCAGUACAUGAUUUGUUUCCCUAAAAUUUUAUAUCAAGGUAGGUUCUGCGUUCCUGACGGAGUUACUGCGAUAUGUAAGUUGUGUUGUGUCUAAACAUCACCUUGUGUUUAUGGUUUGUUUAAUUUGAGACUCGUAUGGUUGAUUACUAAGUCUAUAUCGUUUUGGUUUGCUGGUCCAUAAAUAUUAGACAUACCAUGCCCAGUAAUCUUGUGAUUUUCUAUGUACAGAAUACAUAUCCGCUCUUUCCUGUAUAUACACUUGAAAAAUUAUGUUACAGACCAGUUCGAGUCUGUAGGAUAUACAUGUGGUGAUGUGGAGACAAAGUAAUUUAUUAGCUCAAAUUCUUCUUACAUUCAUCGUAUGCAAUUUUCAGGAUUGCGCUUCUUCUAAUCAUAUAUUUAAAUAAACCUUACUAGUACUCAAGGAGGAGGGAGACCGCUGAGAUCUAAAAUUCUUUGACUUCCUAGACUAUGUCUUAUGUAGUUUUGUUUUUCAGUUUCAGACCAAUGUCAUAUCUUCAGUAUUUGACUAUUUGUGUACUGCAAAUAUGAGAAACAUAAAGCCAAUUGUACAGAAGAAAGGUUCAUAAGGAUUUGUAGAAAGAUUGAAGGCUCUAAGUACUUCGUGUAAAUCAGAUUGCACUCCCGAGUAAAGCUCUCCUCGACGACUGCGGAAGCCUGCGAAGAUUAAUAGGACCUGGAAAGAAGAGGACAUGCAAGAAUCUGCUGCAACCAAGAGAUAAUAAUAUUCCCAAUAUAAAUGGAUGAUGCAUGGCUGAGGUGCUAGUAGCAAGUUCGAGAAUAGUGCUACUACCAGAUAGUUAGAAAUUAUUGUUUAGCAUUAUAUUUUCACAUGUACACAUGUUAAUGUUGUAUCUAUUGGAUCGUGUUCUUUGUAAAGCUACAAAGUAAAUUUAAUAUAUGAGGCCGUUCUGCUUAUAAUGUUGCGGA